rnacentral:tRNA from 1 species
GGCUUGGAGGGUUUGACCAUUAAGUUGCAAACUUGAUAUAGCGCUAGCCCAAGCUA